UGCGCGGUUGUAGCAAUACAACUGGCGCACGGCGCACGGGUGCGUAACACGUGGGCAAUCUGCCCUUCGAUGGGGAAUAUCUUCGGGAAACCGAAGCGAAUUCCGCAUAACAUUCCUUGGACCUCGGUUCGAGGACUCAAAGCCGUAAGGCGUCGAAGGAGGAGCCCGCGCACGAUUAGCUAGUUGGUAGGGUAACGGCCUACCAAGGCUUUGAUCGUUAGCUGGUCUGAGAGGAUGGCCAGCCACACUGGAACUGAGACACGGUCCAGACUCCUACGGGAGGCAGCAGUGGGGAAUCUUGCACAAUGGGCGAAAGCCUGAUGCAGCGACGCCGCGUGGGGGAUGAAGCAUUUCGGUGUGUAAACCCCUUUCGACCCGGAAGAAUGCCUCGCAAGAGGACUGACGGUACGGGUAUAAGAAGCCCCGGCUAACUACGUGCCAGCAGCCGCGGUAAGACGUAGGGGGCCAGCGUUGUUCGGAAUUACUGGGUGUAAAGGGUUCGUAGGCGGUGCGGCAAGUUGGGAGUGAAAUCUCUGGGCUCAACCCAGAGGCUGCUUCCAAAACUGCUGUGCUUGAGUGUGGGAGAGGCGCGUGGAAUUGCAGGUGUAGCGGUGAAAUGCGUAGAUAUCUGCAGGAACACCCGUGGCGAAAGCGGCGCGCUGGACCACUACUGACGCUGAGGAACGAAAGCUAGGGGAGCAAACAGGAUUAGAUACCCUGGUAGUCCUAGCCCUAAACGAUCAGGACUUGGGGUGCCACCCGUUCGGGUGUCGUCCCGGAGCUAACGCGUUAAGUCCUGCACCUGGGGAGUACGGUCGCAAGACUGAAACUC
rnacentral:rRNA from 1 species